rnacentral:rRNA from 1 species
AACGAACGCUGGCGGCAGGCCUAACACAUGCAAGUCGAACGCCCCGCAAGGGGAGUGGCAGACGGGUGAGUAACACGUGGGAACAUGCCCUUCGGUACGGAAUAACUCAGGGAAACUUGUGCUAAUACCGUAUACGUCCGAGAGGAGAAAGAUUUAUCGCCGAAGGAUUGGCCCGCGUCUGAUUAGCUAGUUGGUGAGGUAAUGGCUCACCAAGGCGACGAUCAGUAGCUGGUCUGAGAGGAUGAUCAGCCACAUUGGGACUGAGACACGGCCCAAACUCCUACGGGAGGCAGCAGUGGGGAAUAUUGGACAAUGGGCGCAAGCCUGAUCCAGCCAUGCCGCGUGAGUGAUGAAGGCCUUAGGGUUGUAAAGCUCUUUUACCCGGGAAGAUAAUGACUGUACCGGGAGGAAUAAAGCCCCGGCUAAACUUCGUGCCAGCAGCCGCGGUAAUAGUAACUCUAAU